UAGGGAAUCUUCGGCAAUGGACGAAAGUCUGAUCGAGCAACGCCGCGUGAGUGAAGAAGGUUUUCGGAUCGUAAAACUCUGUUGUUAGAGAAGAACAAGGACGUUAGUAACUGAACGUCCCCUGACGGUAUCUAACCAGAAAGCCACGGCUAACUACGUGCCAGCAGCCGCGGUAAUACGUAGGUGGCAAGCGUUGUCCGGAUUUAUUGGGCGUAAAGCGAGCGCAGGCGGUUUCUUAAGUCUGAUGUGAAAGCCCCCGGCUCAACCGGGGAGGGUCAUUGGAAACUGGGAGACUUGAGUGCAGAAGAGGAGAGUGGAAUUCCAUGUGUAGCGGUGAGAUGCGUAGAUAUAUGGAGGAACACCAGUGGCGAAGGCGGCUCUCUGGUCUGUAACUGACGCUGAGGCUCGAAAGCGUGGGGAGCAAACAGG
rnacentral:rRNA from 1 species